GAGAGCCGUAUACAUGGAGACAUGUACGUAGGGUUCGGGGGCGGAUUAGCAGAGACAUACCACCGCAAGGUGGCAAAGCGCUGUUGGCCUGGCCCAC
rnacentral:ncRNA from 1 species